GGGAAAUGCCAUAUUUGUACAUAGGCUGCUCCAAAACUAAUGCCUCCUAUUUAUUCAUAUGGAAAUUACAACUGAUACAAAAAGCAUAAUUGUAUGGGAACUGCUGAGUCACGGCCUGAAGCUCUGAUUGAUCACCUGAGGCGAGCAAUGAGUCAGCCAGAGGAGUACAGGUGAAGGCAAAUCACCUGUGCUGCCAGAAGGGGUGGAGCCAGGCUCCACCCCUCCUAGACCUAUUUAAGAGCUGGCUACCAGUGGGGAAGGAUCUCUUCUGGAGACUGGCUCUGCUGGAGUUUUGUGAGUGAGCCCAGGAUAGGGGUGAUCCCUGAAUUCAAUUUGAAGGUCAAUCCCAUGCAGUUUAAGCAGGAACUCUGUAAGCCCUGACAACAUGCUUAAAGCAAACGCUUCGUAGAUUGAAGUCCAAGUACUGGGAGGGGAGGAGACUGCAGAAAAGGGUGGAAGGUGGAUGCACGGAAACUUGACUUCCUGGGGAAAGAGUUGGCUUGUUCCAAGGAG